GACAAACGCUGGCGGCGUGCUUAACACAUGCAAGUCGAACUAAGUGGCGAACGGGUGAGUAACGCGUAAUCAACCUGCCCUUCAGAGGGGGACAACAGUUGGAAACGACUGCUCAUAACGCAUACUGAAGGAGGUGAUUGCGUCUGCUUAGCUAGUUGGAGGGGUAACGGCCCACCAAGGCGAUGAUCAGUAGCCGGUACGAGAGGAUGAACGGCCACAUUGGGACUGAGACACGGCCCAGACCUCUACGGGAGGCAGCAGUGGGGAAUCGUCGGCAAUGGACGAAAGUCUGACGGAGCAACGCCGCGUGAGUGAUGACGGCCUUCGGGUUGUAAAGCUCUGUUAAUCGGGACGCGGUACCGGAAUAGAAAGCCACGGCUAACGACGUGCCAGCAGCCGCGGUAAUAC
rnacentral:rRNA from 1 species